rnacentral:rRNA from 1 species
UACGGGGGGGGGCAAGCGUUGUUCGGAAUUACUGGGCGUAAAGGGCGCGUAGGCGGCCUGCUAAGUCGGACGUGAAAUCCCUCGGCUCAACCGAGGAACUGCGUCCGAUACUGGUGGGCUUGAAUCCGGGAGAGGGAUGUGGAAUUCCAGGUGUAGCGGUGAAAUGCGUAGAUAUCUGGAGGAACACCGGUGGCGAAGGCGGCAUCCUGGACCGGUAUUGACGCUGAGGCGCGAAAAGCCAGGGGAGCAAACGGG